GUGGUAGGCUGCCGCCUGUACCCAAUGCCUGCACAGUAGAGCUGGGCUAGCAGAGCAAGCCUGUAACCUCAGCUACAGGAGGGUGAGACAGAAGAUUACAAACUCAGGUCUUGCCUGGGCUGGGGGUGUGGCUCAGUGGUAGAGCACUUCCCCAGCAUGCCGGAAGCCCUGCGGCCUAUAUAACUAACGCAGCAGACACACACCCAAAAUAAAAGGAAAAAGAAAAAAAGAAAAAGACUACUCUUCGAUUUUAAAAAGCAUGGUGCUGCUCUAUGGUGCUCCCUGCAGAAGAUGACCUCACCUUGAACUGCCCGGGAUAGAGCUCCUUGGCAAGGGCAAAGAAGGGUUCCGGAUGUUUCUGUGGGAGAGAGGAGCAGAGGGCCACAUGUCCCAGGUUUGCAUAGAGGCCAGUGGACGGGGAGCGGAAGUCAGGGAUACCCGCGGCUAGGAAGGCAACGCAGUCAGAGGCUCUGCCCACGUGUGCACGAACCCCUCCAGCCUCCCCCAGCCCCAGGAGUGGCUGAAGGACGGGGAACUUACACGUGGAGAUUCCGGCUCCCACCAAACAGAUGACCUUGCGGCCUGGAACAGAGGAUUGAUGGCACAUGCUAAGGUUUCCCUCCUAGACGUACUGCUGGUGCCGGGCAGGAUGGCAUUGGCAACCUCACAUUUCAGGAUCUCAUGGACGUCAGGCAAGCAUUAAAUUCACUGUGCAGCCAGCCAAGGAUCACCUUGAACUUCCAAUCACCCUGCUUCCAUCUUUAAGUGCCCAGCAUUGCCAUCAUGCCCAGCUUUUCUUUUCUUUCUUUGAGACAGGGUCUCAGCAUGAGAACUCGCAGUGACCUUGCAAGCGUUGGGAGGAGUGGGUGCCACCAAGCCUUGCUAUGCCCGUUGUUGUGUGUGGUGCAGGAGACUGACUCUAGGGGCCUGUGCACUAAGCAAGCACUCCACCAACCGAGCCAAGCCGAGCCCCCAGCCCCUCCGGUGUAUUAUGCUUCUUCAGAUCCAUGGUUCAUACUCUUAUGGGGGCUUUGUUCUUGGUUUUUAAAGAACUAUUAGGGGGUGAUAGGAUUGAAUCCAUUCACAGGCACAGAGCUGAGAAGAAAUGGCCCUAUUGCUGCCCCAGCUGCUGGCUGGCCUACAGCCCAGCCACACAGAGCCCCGACAUCUGUCUGUCAGCUGAUGGGCAGACACAAGUGUGGUAUCCCAUGAAUUGGGCACCCCUGGGGUGUUCUGUUUAAGGGACACGUGUGAACAGAAGUCAGUCUGCCAUCGGGGCUGGCGAGAUGGCUCAGUGGGUAAAGGCACUUGCUGCUAAGCCUGAUUCCCGGAAACUACACGGUAGAACGAGAAAAAUAACUCCUCAAAGAUGUCCCCUGGCAAACACAGUAGCAUGCAUGCACCUACAGUAAUGCCCACAUCACCCACCCACCCCCAGCACACACACUCAAAGAUAAUGUUUAAACCAGGCAUGGUGGCGUAUGUGUUUAUUCCCAGAACUUGGGAAGCAGAGGCAGGAGGAUCUCUGUGAGUUUGAGGCCAGUGUGGUCUAUAAAGUGAAUUGCAGACCAGCAAGGUCUGUUACAUAGAAAAAAAAAAAAAAAAAACCAAACCAAACC
rnacentral:lncRNA from 1 species